CCUACGGGGGGCUGCAGUGAGGAAUAUUGGUCAAUGGACGCAAGUCUGAACCAGCCAUGCCGCGUGCAGGAAGACGGCUCUAUGAGUUGUAAACUGCUUUUGUACGAGGGUAAACGCAGAUACGCGUAUCUGUCUGAAAGUAUCGUACGAAUAAGGAUCGGCUAACUCCGUGCCAGCCGCCGCGGUAAUACGGAGGAUUCAAGCGUUAUCCGGAUUUAUUGGGUUUAAAGGGUGCGUAGGCGGUCGGAUAAGUCAGAGGUGAAAUCCCGAGGCGCAACUUCGGAAUUGCCUCUGAUACUGGUCGGCUAGAGAGUAGUUGCGGUAGGCGGAAUGUGUGGUGUAGCGGUGAAAUGCUUAGAGAUCAUACAGAACACCGAGUGCGAAGGCAGCUUACCAAGCUACUUCUGACGUUGAGGCACGAAAGCGUGGGGAGCAAACAGGAUUAGAUACCCUUGUAGUC
rnacentral:rRNA from 1 species